rnacentral:rRNA from 1 species
UACGAAGGGUGCAGGCGUUACUCGGAAUUACUGGGCGUAAAGCGUGCGUAGGCGGUUUGUUAAGUCCGUUGUGAAAGCCCUGGGCUCAACCUGGGAAUUGCAGUGGAUACUGGCGAGCUAGAGUGCGGUAGAGGAUGGUGGAAUUCCCGGUGUAGCGGUGAAAUGCGUAGAGAUCGGGAGGAACACCCGUGGCGAAGGCGGCCAUCUGGACCAGCACUGACGCUGAGGCACGAAAGCGUGGGGAGCAAACAGG